rnacentral:snRNA from 1 species
GAAUGUGAGGGUGAUCUGGCUGCAACAUCUGUCACUCCAUGGAUCACCAGGCUGAUCUAGCUGGCUAGGUGUGUGUCUCCUUCCUUACUCAGUGCUCCAUGUGCAUCCAUCCCAAAGCUGCAUAGUGGAACAAGAUGACAUCCCAGAUAGAAGUGUACCAAUCUUCAGUCAAGUUAUACAAUAGUUGUGCUCCCUGUAGACUAUAUUAACAUCUGUCAAAAGUAUUUUGCUUCAAAUAUGAU